CCACUGCACUCCAGCCUGGGCAACAAGAGUGAGGCUCCGUCUCAAAAAAAAAAAAAAAAACAAGUGGCCAUGCUCCUGCUGUCUCCCACUCUCAACACAGGCCCCUCGAGGGCAAGGCCAGGCUUACCUAGCCUGUACUCAUGGUGAAGGGAAUUAUCAGGCUCACCAACUAGACACACUCUAGAUGACAAGCAGAGAUUCCAAAAGGCCUCUCUCAGCCCCCCUUCUCAUUCCCCAGAACUGCCAAAUUGCUAGUGACAUUUCAUUGUUAAGGUAAGUCAGAAAGAGUCAAUGCCGACCACCACCCCCACCAAAAUCUCUGUAGGAAAUGAAGGCAUAUUUAGCUGCCACGGCCCAGGCUUGUUCAGAUUUCCCACUGUGCUAUAGGAUGACACCGGGUUACAACCAUCCCACACAAGGAGAAUGACAUGUCCCCACUUGCGUCUGGCCCAUGUUUUACAAGAAGCUUGUCUGACAGGUGAAAUAGCUGUCAACACAGGAGCACCUGUUGCAGCACCUGUCAGUGGCGUCCGGCACCCUCCAGGGACACACAAGAAAAGAACACCUGAAAAACAUGGCUUGCUUUUGCAAAAGCAUUGAUACUUAGGAUGAUUUGUGUUGUUCGUCUUUCCUUCCUUCCUUCCUUCCUUCCUUGGUUCCCUCGUUUCUUUUUCUUUCUUUCCCUUUCCUCUUUGUUUGUUUGUUUGAUCAGAUUCCUGUUCACAUAGGCUCCAUCCUUGUAGACAUAAGACACAAGAAUUUUUAAGGUGCCCUGGCUUUGAGCGAGACACCUUAAAUGAAAACUGCCCGCAGGCUGCCAAUAUUGCUUCCCAAACAAACAAAAAUUCUCCGGGCGAUGCCCAUUUUUAACACAUAUGCUCUGCAUUCUGCAAGGAAGAGGACUGGCAGAGGUUUAUUAAAACUGGUCUGGGGAUGGCUUCCGAUGCUGUUUCAGAUAGUUACCCUGCAAGUCAGUGGCUCCUCUCCGGUUCCUUCCAGGCCUCAGAAGCUCAUGAUGCCCAUUGUUUCCAUACCUACCGCCCAGGCAGCUGUCCAUCUGUUGAUGCUCCUAACAGUUCACCCUCAGAAGACCACAAGGAAGCAUGGGGUGCUCAGCCAUUCAGAGGUCCUCACUUAACAUUACCUCUGUAACAAGAAAAGCCAGCACUACUUAGUCUUUCUAAACAGUCACUCAUCUUUAGGCCUGAGGACUGCAGUGGGCUCGUGUCUAGUGACUCACCUCCAAGUUCACUCACAUUCUGAUUUUAUUUCAACCACAAACAGCACAAACUUCUCAAGGAAGGAAAGCAGAAAAGGCAAAAGAAGAGAUAAAACGUUUAAGGACUUGGGAGCAGGGACAAGGACUCUUCUUAGUCCCAGAUGACAUAUCUACACAGAAGACCCAAAGAUUCCACAUUUAUCCUACAAGAAUUAAUAAAAGUUUAGCAAGGUUGCUGGAUUUUUGU